CCCGUGGCGAACGGCUGCGUAACACGUUGGUACAUGCCCCGGACUCAGGGAUAACUAUCCGAAAGGAUAGCUAAUACCGGAUGGUCUCGUAAGAGUAAAGCUUUUGCGGUCCGGGAGUGGCCUGCGGCCUAUCAGGUAGUUGGUGAGGUAACGGCUCACCAAGCCUAUGACGGGUAGCUGAUCUGAGAGGAUGAUCAGCCAGAAUGGAACUGAGACACGGUCCAU
rnacentral:rRNA from 1 species